rnacentral:lncRNA from 1 species
AUGGAACCCAGCCCAGGGAAACACAUGGCCUUUCCCCUGCCCCAGGCUUCCCCAUCUUCUUUGCAGAGACCCUGCCUCUUCUUCAACGGGGUUGAUUCCAGACCCUCCAAGAGCAACAGGGACACGGAGCUCACAUACAUACCCACACACCAACACAGAGAUCACACAACAACACGGAGAUCACACACAUCAACAUGGAAAUCACACACACACAUAUCGAAUGGGGAUUACACACACAUCAACAUGGAGCUCAUACAUACACCCCAAGAUAGCAAUCACACACACAACAUGGAGAUCACACACACACAUAUCAACAUGGAGAUCACAUUCACACACAUCAACAUGGAGAUCGCAUUCACACACAUCAACAUGGAAAAAUCACUCACACACAUCAACAUGGAAAUCACUCACACAUCAACAUGGAAAUCACACACAUCAACAUGGAAAUCAUUCACACACAUCAACAUGGAGAUCGCAUUCACACACAUCAACAUGGAGAUCGCAUUCACACAUCAACAUGGAAAUCACUCACACACAUCAACAUGGAAAUCACUCACACACAUCAACAUGGAAAUCACUCACACACAUCAACAUGGAAAUCACUCACACACAUCAACAUGGAAAUCACUCACACACACAUCAACAUGGAGAUCACAUUCACAGACAUUAACAUGGAAAUCACUCACACACAUCAACAUGGAGAUCGCAUUCACAACACAUCAACAUGGGGAUCACACAGACACACCAUCAACAUGGAAAUCACUCACACACAUCAACAUGGAAAUCACACACAUCAACAUGGAAAUCAUUCACACACAUCAACAUGGAGAUCACAUUCACACACAUCAACAUCGAAAUCACAUUCACAGACAUGAACAUGGAGAUCGCAUUCACACACAUCAACAUGGAGAUCACACACACAUCAGCAUGGAGAUCACAUUCACACACACAUCAACAUGGGGAUCACAUUCACACACAUCAACAUGGGGAUCACACAGACACAUCAACAUGGAAAUCACUCACACACAUCAACAUGGGAAUCACACACAUCAACAUGGAAAUCAUUCACACACAUCAACAUGGAGAUCACACACACAUCAACAUGGAGAUCACACACACACACAUCAGCAUGGAAAUCACAUUCACACACAUCAACAUGGAGAUCACAUUCACACACAUCAACAUGGAGAUCACACACACAUAUAUCAAAUGGGUAUUACACACACAUCAACAUGGAGCUCAUACAUACACCCCAACAUGGAGAUCACACACACAACACAGAGAUCACACAAGUCAACGUGGAGAUCACACACACACAACCUGAAAAUCACACACACAUCAACAUGGAGAUCACACACAUGCAACACGGAAAUCACACACACAUCAACAGGAGAUGACACACACAUCAACAUGGAGCUCACAUAUACACCUCAACAUGGAGAUCACACACACAGCACAGAGAUCACACAAGUCAACAUGGAGAUCGCUCUCUCUACACACACACACACACGCACACACACACACACACACACACACACACAGGCACAAGCCCCAUCAUUCAUGACAGAGCCAUCUCUUGUAUCUGCUAGCGAAACAACACCCGUGGAAAGUCACCUCAAACUUCCAACCUCAUCCCUCACAAAGGAGAAAUGGAGGGUUUGGUUUCGGCUUUCACUGGAGUCUGCAGCAAGAACUGGCAUCAUGCUGCCCACUUCCCGCCUCUCCCCGCCCGGACCCCUGCCUCAGGGACGCCUGUCCUCAGCCCAGCCCUCAGCUGCAGCCAGGCCUUCACCCUCCAUAACCCCCUCAGGGUCCCCACUCCCUGCAGCCCUGUCCCUCCAGGAUGCGUGGCCUUGUCCUGUGUGGGGGUGGCCGAGAGCACUGCCCCAGCCCCGGGUACCUUGGGCAGGAAGCUGGCAGAGGCCAGGGCUGCCAUUCAAACAGGGGCAGGUGGUUUUGCCAGGAGGAAGUUGA